CCAGGCGACACGGGUGCCGGCCUGAGAGGGUGACCGGCCACACUGGGACUGAGACACGGCCCAAACUCCUACGGGAGGCAGCAUUGGGGAAUAUUGGACAAUGGGCGAAAGCCUGAUCCAGCAACGCCGCGUGAGGGAUGACGGCCUUCGGGUUGUAAACCUCUUUCACAGGGACAACGAAAUGACGGUACCUGCAAAAAAGGACCGGCCAACUACUGCCACACGCGGUAAUAA
rnacentral:rRNA from 1 species